UGUAAGUACAAUGUUUUAAACAUGAAACCGCGGAAAGCUCAUUAUAACAGCUAUAGACUACACGGUAAAUAUUUUAGUUGGAUAACUGAGGUAAUUCUUGAGCUAAUACACGCUUUUUAUACCACAUUAGUGGUGCGUUUAUUUGAUUAAACCAUUCUUUCGGUUGACUCAAAAUAUCCUUGCUGAUUUUGUUAUUAAAACAUACCGUAUGUGUAUCUGGUUUAUCAACUUUCGAUGGUAGGGUAUUGGCCUACCAUGGUUGUGACGGAUAACGGAGAAUUAGGGUUCGACUCCGGAGAGGGAGCCUGAGAAACGGCUACCACAUCCAAGGAAGGCAGCAGGCGCGAAAAUUACCCAAUUUUAGUUCAAAGAGGUAGUGACGAAAAAUGACAACCAAAUAUUAUUAUUAAUAUUUGGAUUGAAAAUCUUCAAGUUUAAAUAACUUGUUGGUAAAGGAAAGGGCAAGUCUGGUGCCAGCAGCCGCGGUAAUACCAGCUUUCCAAGUGCAUAAAAUGAUUGUUGUGGUUAAAAAGCUCGUAGUUGGAUUAUAAAGAUUGUGUAAUGAGCAUCUUGGAUGUUUUAAUUUCAUUACCAUCUUAUUAUUUUUAUUAUAUUUUUCGGAAUAUAAUAAACUGUUACUUUGAAUAAAUCAGAGGGUUUAAACCAGGCAUUAUAUGCUUGUAUGGUCUAGCAUGGAAUAACACUAUAGAAAAAGUUAGUGUGGUUUCACUAAUCUUUUUCAUGAUUAAUAGGAACAAACGGGGGCAUUCGUAUCGCUACGUUAGAGGUGAAAUUCUUGGACCGUAGCGAGACGUCCUACUGC
rnacentral:rRNA from 1 species